UUUGAUUCUACUUCAAUCUCCUUCAAUUUUUUUUCUUUAACCAUGUCUGAAUACAUUCACAAGAGAAAUGCCGAUUUAAUUUUUUCAGUCGUCGCACCUCUGAUAAAGAUUCGUGUUUAGAAUAUAGAUUCAUUUGAACGUCUUAAUCAGACGUUGAACCGUUUGUUAGAUGGAGAAAUUACUGAUGGUGAAAGGAUUAGAAAGAUUCAAUGGCUUGUGUCCACGUUCAACCAAAAUGGAGAAGUGCGUGAAUGAGUGGAUAUUAAGACUGACAGAGACGUUCGCAGGAUGAUGCAUAAUA
rnacentral:lncRNA from 1 species